UUUAGAAUGCUUAUACUAUUCAUGUAAACGCUAAUUAAAAGCUAUAAUUCCCGUUCAGCCUAUAUUAAUUUUGAAUUUUGAAAUUUUCAUAACCUACCGCUACUUAUAUUGUUAAUGAAUCUUAAAUGCGUAGAAUGUUUAAUUCUUUUCCUAGCCGUCCGUUAAUGAUUAAAAGAUUGCAUAAAGAUAAAAAGGACCGUUGUUCAAACAGGUAGAAAACUUGUAUUGUCGUACAUGCAGCAGCUUAUCCACACCGUAAAAUUAUUUUUGUAUAAGUUUCGGCAAUGGUACUAAUCAAAUUUAGUUUUUCAACGGUACUUAUACACAG